GCAUCCUUGGUGUAACGGUAACACACAGCCUUCGACUAUUGAGACUCCCACGAAAUGUUAGGGUUGGGUCCGGGGUUCGAUCCCCCGAGGGUGCA